GUCAGGCCCUGGUGUGUGAUGUUCCUCACCCUGUGUCCAAGUGUUCUCAUUGUUCAGUUCCCACCUGUGAGUGAGAACAUGCAGUGUUUGGUUUUCUGUCCUUGCGAUAGUUUGCUGAGAAUGAUGGUUUCCACCUUCAUCCAUGUCCCUACAAAGGACAUGCACUCAUCCUUUUUUAUGGCUGCAUAGUAUUCCAUGGUGUAUAUGUGCCACAUUUUCUUAAUCCAGUCUAUCA
rnacentral:lncRNA from 10 species